UACGUAGGGUGCAAGCGUUGUCCGGAAUUAUUGGGCGUAAAGGGCUCGUAGGCGGUUUGUCGCGUCGGGAGUGAAAACCUCGGGCUUAACUCGGGGCUUGCUUUCGAUACGGGCAGACUAGAGGUAUGCAGGGGAGAACGGAAUUCCUGGUGUAGCGGUGAAAUGCGCAGAUAUCAGGAGGAACACCGGUGGCGAAGGCGGUUCUCUGGGCAUGAUCUGACGCUGAGACGCGAAAGCGUGGGGAGCGAACAGG
rnacentral:rRNA from 1 species